rnacentral:rRNA from 1 species
UACGUAGGGCGCAAGCGUUGUCCGGAAUUAUUGGGCGUAAAGAGCUCGUAGGUGGCUUGUCACGUCGGGUGUGAAAGCUUGGGGCUUAACUCCAGGUCUGCAUUCGAUACGGGCUGGCUAGAGGUAGGUAGGGGAGAACGGAAUUCCUGGUGUAGCGGUGAAAUGCGCAGAUAUCAGGAGGAACACCGGUGGCGAAGGCGGGUCUCUGGGCCGAUACUGACGCUGAGGAGCGAAAGCGUGGGGAGCGAAACAGG